rnacentral:misc_RNA from 1 species
AUUCAUUUAUUUUCUUUUCAUAUACCAAAUCAAAUAUAUAUAUUAUUUGUUAUAUAGAACACUGGCUAGCUAGUAUGCAUGGUUGAAUGGCGAAAAGGGAUUCAUUUAGCUGAUUCUAACUAAUUUGGGAUUAUGGCUUAGUUGUUAUUGUUGAAUAUUUCAUAUCAUGUUGCCUUCUGUGGAACACUUGCUAGCUAAUAUGCAAAGGGAUAACAGUGGAGAUCUUUAUCAAACGUAUAUAAAGUAGACAAUAUUACUAUCCCCUUCUUAAUUGUGAACUUGAAGCAACUCAUUCCAACUUAAUUUGGAUAAAUUAAACAAACAUAAUGCAAUGGAACAGAAUUUUCACUUGGAAUAUUACUAGCCUAGCUAGCUAGCUAUAUAACCAGCUUCAAUGUCGUUGAAGCCCUAUGAAGAGUUCAUCAAAUGCUCGUCGAGUUCAGUUACUAUUGAGCAGUUCCUCUAUCAUCUGCAAUGCAACCCUCUGUUCCUCAUCUAAACCACCGCCACCGCCACCUUCUUUCCCUACCAUUAUCUCUGGUGUCUCCGAGCCAGGCAAUUUAGCCUCCUGUGCUUGACCUUCCUUUUUUCCAAGCUCAACAAUCAUAACCCAAUUCGAAUCUGAACGUGGCCCAGCACGCUUUUGCCAUACUCCAAUAUGGCAAUUCUCAUUGUCAAGCCUUAGGCAAGUAAGAGAGGGAGACAGAGAUUUGCAAGGCUUGCGAAGUUUAGCACUAAGCAGGGAAGACAGUGGAGUACUUGCAGUAGUAGUAGUGGAAGGAGCAGGAGAUGAUGACAAGGAACACUUGUCAUUGCCUUGUUGAUCAGUGACAGGGAAGUUCGUUUUGGCAUUCCGGCCACAUAUUAAAACUGCUGCUUCAUCGUAUGCUCUCGCUGCCUCUUCAGCCGUCUCAAAAGUUCCCAGCCACACCCUUCUUUUCAGUAAAGGGUGACGAAUCUCAGACACCCAUGAGCCCCAGUGGCGCUGCCUGACACCUCUGAACUUCUUAGAUUGUACCAUAUUGUUGAAACUGACUACUGUAUCUUUCCCUUGAGCACAGAGAAAAGUUUAAUGCAUAACUAAAAAC